GGUAGAAUCGUAGCUCAGUGGUAGAGCACAGGCUUUGCAUGCAAAAGGUCCCAGGUUCGAGUCCCUGUAUCU